AAAACGGCCCUGCACCCCCCACGAAAGCUGCAUAUGUUGCACCGCAUCCCAAAUAAGAAGAAAUCGGCAGAUGACUGGCACGAUAAACGCCCCCUCGAUGGAUAUCGGAGAUCUAGUGUUGCUGACGAGGCCUGCGGUAACUAAACGGUGAUUCCGGAUAUGACUACCCAGAGAGCAGCAGCAGUAAAGGAGCCAAUGAGGCUAUCGAACGGCCGUUGAUCCACCGGUCGGUGCAGAAGAGAGCAGAAGAAAAAAAAAAAGGAAAAGAAAAGACGACG
rnacentral:lncRNA from 1 species